UAAUACAUCGGAACGUGCCCUGUAGUGGGGGAUAACUAGUCGAAAGAUUAGCUAAUACCGCAUACGACCUGAGGGUGAAAGUGGGGGACCGCAAGGCCUCAUGCUAUAGGAGCGGCCGAUGUCUGAUUAGCUAGUUGGUGAGGUAAAGGCUCACCAAGGCGACGAUCAGUAGCUGGUCUGAGAGGACGAUCAGCCACACUGGGACUGAGACACGGCCCAGACUCCUACGGGAGGCAGCAGUGGGGAAUUUUGGACAAUGGGCGAAAGCCUGAUCCAGCAAUGCCGCGUGUGUGAAGAAGGCCUUCGGGUUGUAAAGCACUUUUGUCCGGAAAGAAAUGGCUCUGGUUAAUACCUGGGGUCGAUGACGGUACCGGAAGAAUAAGGACCGGCUAACUACGUGCCAGCAGCCGCGGUAAUACGUAGGGUCCAAGCGUUAAUCGGAAUUACUGGGCGUAAAGCGUGCGCAGGCGGUUGUGCAAGACCGAUGUGAAAUCCCCGAGCUUAACUUGGGAAUUGCAUUGGUGACUGCACGGCUAGAGUGUGUCAGAGGGGGUGUAGAAUUCCACGUGUAGCAGUGAAAUGCGUAGAGAUGUGGAGGAAUACUGAUGGCGAAAGGCAGCCCCCUGGGAUAACACUGACGCUCAUGCACGAAAGCGUGGGGAGCAACCAGGAUUAGAUACCCUGGUAGUCCACGCCCCAAACGAUGUCAACUUAGUUGCUGGGGAUUCAUUUCCU
rnacentral:rRNA from 1 species